AUGGUGGGCAGGCAGAGGCAGUACUUUGAACAAAAGAAGCGGCAGCAGCAGACGGCAGGGCUGCAGAACCAGGAUGGCACAGAUGGCGCAGGCGGCCAAGCUGUUGGUGAUCAGGCGCCUCGAUCGCUUGACAUCCUAAGCCUGAACAAUUUGGCAGCUCCAGUCAGUCACUGCAAUGGCCCUGAAAAUGCAGGUAGUUUUCUUCCAAAUUUGGACAGCGCAAGUUUUUGUGCUUCCCCUCUAGAGGCGUUGAGGAAGAUCACUUCUUCAUAUAAUAUUGAUCCGAAGGAAACAAGUAAGAGUACAGCUAUAUGUAUAUCAGAUGAGGGAAUUCAUUAUGCUUUUCUUGUUAUAUUGUAUUUGCAUGCUUACCACAGAUAUAUUAACAAGAUCAAUGGCAUCCACAAUUUUCACAUCGUAUGA
rnacentral:rRNA from 1 species